rnacentral:rRNA from 1 species
AGCGAACGCUGGCGGCAGGCUUAACACAUGCAAGUCGAGGGGAGCGGCAGACGGGUGAGUAACGCGUGGGAACGUACCUUUUGGUUCGGAACAACACAGGGAAACUUGUGCUAAUACCGGAUACCGAAAGAUCGGCCCGCGUCUGAUUAGCUAGUUGGUAGGGUAAUGGCCUACCAAGGCGACGAUCAGUAGCUGGUCUGAGAGGAUGAUCAGCCACAUUGGGACUGAGACACGGCCCAAACUCCUACGGGAGGCAGCAGUGGGGAAUAUUGGACAAUGGGGGCAACCCUGAUCCAGCCAUGCCGCGUGAGUGAUGAAGGCCCUAGGGUUGUAAAGCUCUUUUGUGCGGGAAGCGGUACCGCAAGAAUAAGCCCCGGCUAACUUCGUGCCAGCAGCCGCGGUAAUUC